GGCCCCCUUAGGACAUGGGAUAGUUGAAUGGGCUGCUCUUUUUAUGAUUUGUAGGUUGAAUAUUAAUCUUAUUAAUUUGAAUAACUUCAGUUAGGAUGGGGCAACACUGGGGGGGGGGGAGCAGGGACCUCAGUAUUAUGGUGGUACUGCAUCUAUUGAUCAUAGAUAGGACUAAUUCUGUUUCACAAAAUAUUUCUCUAUGGCUGCUUCUAUUUGUAUGGAUUCAGUAUAACUGACAAUUGCAAGGAACUGGGGGAUUGCUUAAGCACAAGAUGGCUAUUCUGACAAUUUCUCAGAAAUCCAUAUUCCUUGAGAGUUAACGCAUACCUGUUCAUAAUAUACACAUAAUAUAAAUGAUGCAAAAGAAUGGCCAAAAUACUUGUUUGCCUUUUGUCGAUGUUCUAUUAGAGUUUCAGUUAGGACAAAUUUGUCUUGAUCCAUUGAAGUGGGGUCAGUGUUUUACUGAGUCAGAAAAUGUAUAUCUUUUGGAUGUAGUCAAGAUGGCCAGAUGCAUCCUGCCAAUUGUGUGAUUUUGAGGUUUAUGAUUCUACAGCUCAGUUUUGAAAUUGCCCUAGUAUUUGUGGCUUCAGAAAGUGGAAAAAAAGUUAAGCCAAACUCUUUACAAUUUUCUAUAUUUGGUUUUAGGUGGAAAGCAUGCAAGAAGUUUUGAUAUGCCACUCUAGACCACACGUUGAAGUGUCCUAGAAGUCAUAAGCUAACUAAUUUACCAAAUGCUUAUUAGCUAAAGGUCUGUCUGAUGGUCUUGAAACUAGCUAUUGCUUUUUCUAGCUAUUUCUCACUUCAUUUUUUGGCAAAAGGUUUGCUACCCCCUGCAGCUGCUCAGUCUCAUAGAACAAUGCUGAUUGAAAUCAAUUAUAGGAGUUUGACUCCUCUGCAUGCUAUAUUCAGGAUGAAUGGCAGUUGUGGAAUAGUCACCUUAAAGAGAAACAUGUUCUUAACAUCAAGGCAGACUCUGAUCAUUGCUUUACAUGACCUAACCUUUUACUUAUGUCUCAUUCUCUACACACCCACAAAAAUGCAUCAAAGCCAAAACCAUAAUUAGAUGUGGGUUGAGAAUUGGCAUUAUGCAGGGAACAUUUUAGCAUAGUACUGUACAAGUAUUUUGAAAACAAAAGUUGUUGGGAAAACCAGAGAGUUCUCUAACAAUGCCUGCCUUUUUUCCCCACCAGCACUAAAGACUACUAAGUACCGCAAUGAGCUAGAGGCCAACUGGCAGACGUACUUUGGAUUCUUUAUUCUGGAAAUAAUAUUCUAUCUUCCUGGGCUCACAGUUUGCCUUUAAGCCAAGCCCUUAGAAUAUGGGGUCCACUUCUUAAUCUCUUUCCCCCUCCCUCAAAUUUGUCUAUUUUUUAAGGAUAGAAAAUGGUGGACGUGCCUUGGUGUGACUCUCAUUAUUUUAGGACACAGCCCAGCUGUGGGUCAUAUAUUUUGGCCUGACAUGUUAAUAGCAUGUUUAGACCUCAUUCUUAAAAAACAAACAAACCCCAAAACAAAAAAAAUCCCAUGCCUGCAUCAAACCAGGCACUGUGGGUUAAAAUAUUUUAUCUGUACAAUUUCCCUGCUGAAAAUUGCUCCUAAAGCUGCUACCUGCUACAAGAAGCAUAUUUUGAAGGAGGGUUAAUUUGGCAAGGAAAAUUAUUUAGAAUAAAAGGGUUAAAUCUCCCAUCUGGAUCAGGGCAACUUUUAUUCUUGAGUGUUAAAAUCUUUCCAACUUAAAUUAGAAAAUUGGUGUUUGGAAUGUCUGGAUUUCUCUGGACAUUACCAGGAUUUCAAAGGCAGAAAUGACGUCUGGGGGGAAUUUCCAAAAUAUGGCGCUUUGUCCUGGAUCUUAAGAAAGUCAAUAGAAAAAUCACAUUAUUAUUUUUUUGGCGUCUUUGUAAAAUAAAAUCUCAACAACCUUGGGGUUUGUACAAUAAAAGCCCAACAACUUUCGAGAUUUCCUUAAAAAAAGCUCAACAGUUUUUGGGGGUUUCCUGUCUCUUACUUUUUGAAAUAUGGCAAUGCUACAUAAAGUCAGAUAAGGGUUUGGGGUUUUUUUAAGCGACAAGCUUGUAAUUGGAGUACUUCCAAUUGUUUUGAAAUUUCAGAGGGAUAAACAUGUUUCAAUGCCAGUAAUACAUGUGAAAAAGGUCUAGGGGUCUUAGCAGACAACAAUGUUAAAUGCCAAGAAAAGGAAGGAAACUAAUUGGAAGGAAAGAACUCUCGUAGGAUUUAAAAAUGGGACAAGCCAGGUGUCCCACAUCUUAUAUGUGUGCAGCUAGUCAUUCCUGCCUAAGUGUAGAACUCAACAUUUUGUUUCAGCCCAGUUCCCCAAUCUGUUAAGGUCAUCUUGAAUCCCGAUUCUGCCUUCUGUGGCAUUAGCUAUUUGAUCGAUAUGCUGUUCCAUUAUAGUAAAAUCAAACUUCAAUUGCUGGAGGAAAUUGCUCCUUUUUAAAUGCUGCCAUUUAGAUAAUAACAGUUCUUUUCGCUCCUCAUCUCAACACAUUACAUAGCAACAAACCUGGACUUGCCACUAUGUGCACAUUCAACAAGGAACCACAGCCCAAGAUCAGCUGCCGACCAAGGCUAUCUGUAUAAUAUGUGUGUUUUUGAAUACUCAUUUUGUCAGUUAUGUUCAUGCCUUACAUUUUUAGUUUUGCACCUAAGAAUGUAAUGUUUGACACCAAAGGACCAGAUUUCGUAUUACAUUAAUAGUGUGUUGAAACAUGCUUGAGACCAGCUUCCAAAACUAGAAACAGGAAAAAUGCACAUAAAAUUACCAAGAGUUCCACAUCUAAAAAUAAAAUAUUAUAAUAAAAUCAGCUGGAAUUAAGCCCUAAAGACUUGUUGAAAAAGCUCAAGCUUUGUGACUGCUGAUUGAUGUUUUCAUGCUAUGCUUUCACUGCAGUUGCAAUGUGGAACAGAGAUGUUGCAUCCAGCCUAAAUCAUUUACAUUGAAUCUGGACUUUCCAGACAGAGACAGGAAAGUUUCUCUGUAGCAAUCUUCCAUGCCACAAGUGCAGUGGAAAAAGUACCUUUCACUGUUGUAAAAAAGAAAGUCUAGAUUCUCAGGAGUCCAAAUUCUCCGUCAUGUUCUCUGCGAAAUCCCAAGAAAGAACGGAAUGGUAGGGAAGGGGCUUGGAGGGAAGUUGGAGACCACAUACAGACAGUGAGGCACUUUUCUUACUCUGCACAUUUUUAGGUCUUGCCCUGCUUAGUGCUGGAGUGCAGCUCCUGACAGAUUCCCACAGAGGUAAUUUAAACCUUGGGCUAAAAAAGGUUCCCAAACCCCAAACCCUCCAACAUUUCUCUGAUGAAAAUAGGGACAUCCCAUUCCAUAAUGAUAAUUUUACUAUUUAUACCCCACAUACUGGGUUGCCCCAGCCACUCUGGGCAGCUUCCAACAUAUACAAAAGCAUAAUAAAACAUUAAAAAUCUUCCCUAUACAGGACUGCAUUCAGACAGCUCAGGGGUCGGAUAACUCCAUUCCCUCUAACAUAGGCACGUCCAACAGGUAGACAUUUCUCCAAUGAAAAUAGAGAAAUCCUAAGGAAAUGUGGAUCACUGCAGAUGGUGACAGCAGUCACGAAAUUAAAAGACGCCUGCUUCUUGGGAGAAAAGCAAUGACAAACCUAGACAGCAUCUUAAAAAGCAGAGACAUCACCUUGCCGACAAAGGUCCUUAUAGUUAAAGCUAUGGUUUUCCCAGUAGUGAUGUAUGGAAGUGAGAGCUGGACCGUAAAGAAGGCUGAUCGCCAAAGAAUUGAUGCUUUUGAAUUAUGGUGCUGGAGGAGACUCUUGAGAGUCCCAUGGACUGCAAGAAGAACAAACCUAUCCAUUCUUCAGGAAAUCAGUCCUGAGUGCUCACUGGAAGACAAGAGUGCCUGGCGUUCUCUGGUCCAUGGGGUCACGAAGAGUCGGACACGACUAAACAACAACAAAGGAAAUGUGGGACAUUGUGGGUUCAAAUCAGAAAGUGGGAUGGCUUCUCUAAAUCAGGGUCAUCCCUGGAAAAUAGAGACACUUGGAGGGUCUGCAAACCUAACGUAAGCUUGUCAUCUUUUAAAAACUUGUUAUUGUGGUUACCCAUGCUCAAAGGGUGUAGCAGAAAAAGAGAAGACAGCAGUGUAGGCCUGGCCACAUGACAAAGUGUGGAAACAGACUAAAUGUAGGAAACAACAGGUGAUUUUUCUGGAGCUCAUAAUACAGUAUUAAGUAGCUUAAGGACUGGUAGCACAGUAAAUAUUUACACUCUGACAAUGUCUUAUGGUGAGACAGAUGCCUUAUUCCUCUCGCACACAUGCUGCCAUAUUACUGCAGAAUUCCAAGUGUAAAACAUCAUCUAAGAACUAAAUUAUCCAUUAAUUUUGGAGUGAUAUCCUGAGGCAGGGGCGGGGAUGAAGGUUUUUAGCUCAUCAUGAAAAGUUCUUUUUUAACUGAGAUUUCACAAAUGAGUUAAAGCCUCUCAGUGACAGUUCAGUUCACUGAUGACUAAUGCAUCUGUUCUGCCAUUCGUCUGGGAAAUUUAUUUUGUCAAAAGCAGGGACUAUUAUAGCAUAUGUGCAUUUAAAAUGCUGGUUCUUUUGCAUAAGUGAAAUUAUUCUCCUGUCUUUUGCUCCUAGGGAUAACAAAAAAUAGAGCAUUUCUUUUUCUCAAUGGGGGAAAAAAGCACCUAUUGUGACAAAUGUCCCUGCAUUAAAAGCUUAAUCGCAGGGUUCUGAGCACUUGUGUGAAAGUGAUAUUUUAUGUAUUGUCAUGUAGAGUUACUAAGAAUAGGUGAUUAGAUGUUAUAGUGAUUUCCAGUUUUUUCUUUGAGGGAAAACAUUGUAUAAAUGCUGCAUUAUCUCUUUUUCAAAAACUCUCCUCUCUACUCAGAAAUGUGAGUCAGAGCAUCCUUAAAAACAUUAAGGUAACAUGUACAUGGAUUAAUGCACUGGUACAUUUUAGCCUUUACAGAAAAUUCAAAUGAAUGUUCAAGACAAGCCCUGGUGAAGCACAUUAAACAUUGAAAUCUCAAACUGUGUUUUGACACAGCAAAUAAUACUGUGGUUCAGGGAUGAGGGACCCUAUAGCCCUCUAGUUGUGGUUGAAUUCAAACUCCUGUCAGUCCAAGCUGGAACGGCUGAUAGUAAUGGAUGAUGGUAGUUGUAGCGUCACAAUGUCUAGAGAGUCACAGAUCUCCAGCCCUGCUCUAGUUUCUUUGCUGAAUCAUGGCGCUUCUUGUGUACCUUGUCAUAAUUAUAGUCUCCACCUCAAGUUACGUCACUCAUCGGUUACCUCAAGUGACUUUACAAUUUGUUUUGGAUACUCUUGAAAUGCUUGCUUCCAUUGAUUUCCUCCAAGGAUUUGAGGCAGAAUAAACAUCAAACAUACUGUAAAACAAAAAAUAUUGAGAAACAUGCUUUUGAAAUCUUUCCAUUAAACAGAAUUGCUUACGCAGAGCUUCCAAGGAAAACACAAGGCCACACAGACUAAUAUUUCAGAAUCAGAUCUGUUGUCAGGUUUUGGGGGCUCGAUUUGUUUCCUCACCCCCUGUUCCUUUGUGUCUUCCACUUGCCGCAGCCUGGUUCACUUUAAGAUGUAGGCCUCUUCCUUCCUGCCACUGCCAGGGUUAUAAGCAACCUUGGCCAGCCUGAAGGAAAUAGCUCAGUGGUAGAAUAAUUGCUUGCAUGCCAAAGGUCCCAAACCCACCCACCGACCCACCAGUGGGUUAACUAGCCCAGUGGUUGAUGAACUUCCCACCUUUGUGGAACACUUUCUCUUAGGUGCCAAAGAAUCCCUGGAAGACCCCUGGAAUUGCACAAAUGGUAUUGGGGCAUGCUGUAAUUUUAUUGAUGUGUUUUGUGUUUGUGUAUUGAUCUUACUAAAGGAUUUUAUUAUUGAAUUUUAGUAUGUCAGCCACUUUGAGCCCUGGAAUAUAAAACCCAUACACACUGGACUAUAACACACACACAUCUAGGGGGAGCGCCUAUUUUACACAGGUCACUAACCAACCCUGCAGAUGGAGCUGGGCAGAUCUGUCAUUGAGUUUCUCUGUUUUCCAUUUCUUUUCAUUUCAUUCAAUCUUACAUUCAUCUCUCUUCAUCUCCACAUCAGUUUGUGAAUUUAUUUCUCUAAAGCCCUUGAAAAUUGUAUGCAUUUUCAUGAGUGUUUCAACUAAUAAACAGAUUUUUGCAAGCUAGUGUCCCCAAUAUAAUGCAUUUUGUACAUUUUUUUUACCAGUAUAUGCAUUCUUGUGCACAUGUACCCCCAAAUAAAUGUUUUAUUAUACAC